rfam:Puccinia graminis f. sp. tritici CRL 75-36-700-3 supercont2.14 genomic scaffold, whole genome shotgun sequence.
GCCCGUUUAGCAUAGUCGUUAUUGCGCGGCACUUGUAUCUUCUCGAGCACUCUCGUAGGUCAUGCCGAGGUCGCUAGUUCAAAUCUGGCAACGGGCA